GGGUUUAUUGAGGAGUUCUCUAACCCUGCUGCUUUCUCUGUGUGUGGCAGGCUUCUCCGAGGAAGAGGAGGCCCAGAAAGACAAAAGAAAGUGAAAGCUUUUGGGUGCUGUGAGGAAGAGCUGGAGGAGGCUUCUGCAUCCCCAGAGACGUGCUGCCCUGUGCCCCUGGAGAAGCUCCGCUUGGCUCAGCGCCUCAGGCUCGUUGAGAGGAGGCUACAGGAUGUGGCCAGACACCUGGAU